GACUUCCACCUGAACCCUCAGCUCCGAACGCCUUGCAUUAGAAGCUAGAGCUUUGGAGGUUCUGAGGACGGUCCCUGGGGAGCAAGUGAGACUGAGGCGCUGAAUGAUAGAGGGAAUAAACAUUUGCCCUGGAUAAAAAUGUUCUUGGCUGUUGUUCAGCUCUAAUGAUGUCCUAGA